CAAUGUUUCAUGUAGUGGUAUCACGACUGCUUCGCAUGCAGAAUGCUCCGAGAUCAAUCCCCGGCACAUUCG